CGAGAAACUAAUAUCAAGGCCUUCAUUCUGACCAACCGGGAAGAAUGGCUUGGUGAUGUGAAAGUGACGAAACAUCUUGUAGAAAAGGCUCACUGCUUCAGAGACGAGUGGCCAUGAGAAAAGAAGAACCACUCAGCCCCUGGGCUUCAGGGUUGUCGGAAGGAAGAAUAACUUAUACUAAAGUACCUUAAUAGUGUACCUGGCACAUUCCAUUUUCCAGCAAGAUGAAGAGGAGAGGAAACAGGAAAUAGCCCAAAUUGAGGGCCAUAAUGAUCUCUAUGUAGAGCCAGUGCAGGCCUGUAAUUCCAUUACGAAGAAGGUCAGGGGCAAAUUGCAGGAAAGAUCUGAAACAACAGCCUGUGUUCUACCGUGAGCCUAAGGGAGGAC
rnacentral:lncRNA from 1 species